GCACAAGAUAGCUCAGCUAGUAGAGCAUGAGACUCUUAAUCUCAGGGGGUUGUGGGCUGGAGCCCCACAUUGGGCA